rnacentral:pre_miRNA from 1 species
CCCCUACCCAUGUGUGUAGGACCCCAAAAGAUCACCAUUAAAUUUGGUACAUAUCUCUAAAAAAAUUAUCACAUGGGUGUGAGACUUGACUUUUUUAGAAAUCCGUACCAAAUUUAAUGAUGAUCCUUUGGGGUCCUACACACAUGGAUAGGGG